ensembl:ncRNA lncRNA:CR44612 long non-coding RNA:CR44612
GGCAUUUACACAUCAGCUCCGGCUUUCUCGGAUGGUCAGCAUUCGAGGAUUAGAUGGACCACCAAGGACCAAGGACUACGAGCACGCACUCUCGGGACACAGGAGUGCUGAGCUUAUAAGCCGCAGCAAACGGCUUACGCUCCAAAAUCCACGGCUAGAAAAUUUCACCCAAGGAUCAUGUUUUUAAAUCAGCCAACUAAGAGCUAAAAGGUCUUUACCUUAUAGAAUCAUGUAGUUAUUUCUUAUUGGCAUUGAAAGGAAUCUAAACAAAUAAUAAAAAAGAAUGUAAGGAAUGUUCAAAUGUCCCCAUUUUCCGCAGUGCCCAUGCUUGCAGGACUCACUCAACUGGCCGACUAAACAUUCCUGUGGAUGCUUUAAAAUGUUUGCGCCGGCUAUGCAAAUAAAUCCAAGUCGUGGCCAAAAACUCAAUUUCGGGCAGCUAGUGCAGCAGCUGCUACUCGAAUGUGGAACUGUAGGAACCCCCUCAGGAAGACCCUACCCCACCCCCCUUUGGGGGGUUUGUCAAUCCCACAGCAAGCGGAGCAUAUGGCGACAAACAGCGGGCGCCGCUUUCUAUUUGUUUGCCUGCAAACACGCAGAGAAAAGCGAAUAGAACACGGAGUGUGGAACGUAGUGGGGUGAAGCCCAGCGCCAAGGACAAAGGACGAGAAGAACGAAGGCUGCUCAGCAUGCACUAGACCCAUUUCGUGAAUAUAUGGCAGUUCGGAAUGGCAGUUGUGGAAAUUGAGGUGGCAGCAGAAGUGGAGGCCAGCAGCUGAAUUGCAUUUGGGCAAAAACAAAACCGGAGCCAUGAAAAUCGCAUUUCGAAAAGCAUGCGAAGAGUCGAAUUCCCUUGAAUUAAAUAAGAUAGUAUUCUUAGAACUAUAAGAUUAAAAUAAAUUUUUAGAUAUGCAUUCUAAGUUUCUUUUUAGCUAACCAUAUUGGUAGUCUAACUAUAAGCAUUUUAAGCCAUUUUAAUAUUCCAUAUUUACAAUAUUUGUAUGGCUAGUUUUGCUACAUUCAAGUUACAAUCAAAGGACCCCUAACCACUAUCGAAAUCAAUGUUGAUGGACACCAGUUCUAGGAGGUUAAUCACUUCUCGAACUUGAACAGACAUCAAACGAAAUGGGCAAAAAAUGCCAAAUAUAUACUAGUUUCUUCAGUCCAGUUUCCAUCAGAACUCAAUCCUCUUGAUAAAGUCAUCAUACUCUGGUCCGACAAGGCCACAAAAAAUAACGCACACAACGUGAGGAAGCUGCGAUUCUGAAUUUCUAAGAGGUUGAGGGCGAAAAUUCGCCCCAAAAAAAAUUUGGACAAAACUGCCACCCCAAAAGUCUCACUCUUUUUGGGCUUCUGACGGAAUAUUUGCCCGAAAUUCGUUUUUCUGCACUCUGCGCACGCUUUUCUGCAUUGGGAUAGGUCCAGGAAUCAGAAAAAAAAAAGAUGUAGAAAAGGAUGGCAGUUCCGGGUUUUCGGUUGGUUUGGCCGGCUGCGCGCCCUAAAUGGAUUUAGCUUGUUCCGAUCUCGAAUCUCGUCCGUGGUUUGUUUUUCUGCGACGUCGCAAAUGGGAAAUGUGCUCGUUUGCAUGUGCCACAUGUGUCCCGGUGCUGUGUGUGCAUAAGCUGCAAUCGAAACGCUCUGCGAAACUGGCGUGGCGUUAAUACGCAAAUUCAAUUGUCAAAUCAAUGGCAAGUGGCAAAUAAAUUAAAUUCUCUUAACGCCCCAGCUGACAAUAAAGAACCAUCUGAUGAAUCAGAGGCGCAUAAUAUACGACCUGUCACGUCCCAUUACAAUAUAUAUAUUUGCACCAAGGUGUCUGAACGCAGACAGAAGCAGUGACGUGGCCGGCAGGUGGACACAAAGGCUGGCAGAGUGCACUGGGAGAAAAAAUAUUGCAUUUAUAAAAUGCAAUGCAAUCCGUAAGUUAACCAAAUACUCCGGAACAAAUCUUUAUAUCUUUCUUUUGUUUAGGCUUGAGUUACUUCGUAUUUUGCAUAAAACUGAAACAUAACUUGACUUUAUAUUAGAAAACCUUUUUCUAAGUGUGAACGGACGGAAGGCGUGUAGCCGGAUAACCAGACGGAUAUUUCUGGUCUGGCCAAAUUUCUGGGCAGUCGCACAGUGUUGGCAGCAUUUGCGGUCACUUGACGGACGGUCUAUGCACAUUUGGUCUGCUUUUUGCCAACCGCCGCAAAAGUGCCCGGAAUGAAGGACGUCAGGCAGCAGAGGGUUAAGUGGGUGGGUGGGUCAGAUGGGGGCGAAAGUGGCCGCAAGUUCGUCAACAUGGGCAAAUAUUUGCAGAUAUCCAAACGAUGUCGCACGUCUGUUGAUGUUGCUGCUGCUGCUGUUGCUGCAACUGCUACUGUGGAUGUUGAUUGUUGGUCAAGUGACCGUAAGCCAACAAUUGGUCACGAUCACUUUGCCUUUAUUGUUUUCGUUACUAGUGCUCUGUCCUCCCGUUUUUAUUGGUUUUUUUCUGGGCGAUGUCUCUCCUUUGUUUUCGCACUUGCGGCUGUUCGUGUCGCUGAUUUGACGUGACUAAUGGGUCGUUAGGCAUAUGUCCACUCAGCUGAAGGAGCAAACAGGUGGCGGGACAGGGUUGGAGCGACGGAAAAGUCAUGCUCGAACUGAGUUUUUCCCUAUUCCAAUUCUUAACAAGUUACAAAUUGCAUAGCUCGCUUCACUGGCAACCUCGCCUGGCAAAUGGCAAUGGUGCAAGACCCAAGUUGAUUGCAAUACAAGCCUUGAGAGAGGUCAAGGAUGUGGGAUACAUAGAAUGACUACUUUGUUUCAUAUAAGAUAGAUUCCGGAAGAUUUAUAUAAAAAAUAAAUAAAUUUAAAGUACAUAUUAAAUAAAAUUCAGACUGGUAUUUAUAUUUGCCUAUCUUAGCAGCAAUCCGUUAAUCCGAUAUUAUCUGCUUUGCUCACUUAAGCUUACCAUAUCCCACAUUCAAAUCAUU